GACAGAGGGUGCAAACGUUGUUUCGGAAUUACUGGGCGUAAAGCGCGUGUAGGCGGCCCUGCAAGUCGGAUGUGAAAUCCCACGGCUCAACCGUGGAAGUGCAUUCGAAACUGCAGGGCUAGAGUCCUGGAGAGGAAGGUGGAAUGCUUGGUGUAGAGGUGAAAUUCGUAGAUAUCAAGCGGAACACCGGUGGCGGAGGCGGCCUUC
rnacentral:rRNA from 1 species